UGCGUAGGCGGAUUGGCAAGUCAGAAGUGAAAUCCAUGGGCUUAACCCAUGAACUGCUUCUGAAACUGUUAGUCUUGAGUGAAGUAGAGGUAGGCGGAAUUCCCGGUGUAGCGGUGAAAUGCGUAGAGAUCGGGAGGAACACCAGUGGCGAAGGCGGCCUACUGGGCUUUAACUGACGCUGAGGCACGAAAGUGUGGGUAGCAAACA
rnacentral:rRNA from 1 species